AACGCAGCGAAAGGAGGUGAUCCGAUGUCUCAUGGUUCAGCAGGCAGGUCGGAGGAGGGUGUUCUUAACGCCUAAGGCUGAUCGAACGGCCGUCACCUUCGGCCGCUGACCAUGUCGAAGGGCAUCGCUGCGAUACCGCGGCGGUGCCCU
rnacentral:sRNA from 1 species